rnacentral:rRNA from 1 species
UGCCAGACUCCUACGGGAGGCAGCAGUGAGAAAUAUUGGUCAAUGGGCGAGAGCCUGAACCAGCCAAGUCGCGUGAGGGAGUACUGCCCUAUGGGUUGUAAACCUCUUUUGUCGGGGAGCAAAAGCCGGACGUGUCCGGCUGUGAGAGUACCCGAAGAAAAAGCAUCGGCUAACUCCGUGCCAGCAGCCGCGGUAAUACGGAGGAUGCAAGCGUUGUCCGGAAUCAUUGGGCGUAAAGAGUUCGUAGGCGGUAUGUUAAGUCUGGUGUUAAAUGCAGAAGCUCAACUUCUGUUCGGCACUGGAUACUGGCAAACUAGAAUGCGGUAGAGGUAAAGGGAAUUCCUGGUGUAGCGGUGAAAUGCUUAGAUAUCAGGAGGAACAUCGGUGGCGUAAGCGCUUUACUGGGCCGUAAUUGACGCUGAGGAACGAAAGCCAGGGUAGCAAAUGGGAUUAGAUACCCCAGUAA